rnacentral:lncRNA from 1 species
UAUAUAUAUAUAUAUAUAUAUAUAGAGAGAGAGAGAGAGAGAGAGUAGAGCUAGAAUACUUGUAAAAGUAUCACCCAAGUGAUAUUUGUGUGUUUUUAGCCCUUGGAUAGAGAGAUGUGAGGUUGAGAUGAUAGUGGUAGGUGGUGGUAGGUGGUGGUAGGUGGAAUAGUGUUUGAUCCAAGGAUUAUUAGUAAUCAAAAAGUAGAUCCAAUGGCUAAAAACACAUAAGUAUCACUUGGGUGAUACUUGUAAAAGUAUUCUAGCCCUACUCUAUAUAUAUAUAUAUAUAUGAAUUAGGCUGGAAUACUAUUAAUAGUAAAACGUUUUUUUUGCUAUCAAGUUUUUAACCUUUGGAUGAAAAAUUGUAGGGUCAGGAUGAUAUUAGUCGGUUAGAGUUGAGUGGUCCCCCUAGGGUUGAGUGGUCCCCACUGGGUUAUAGUAUUUAAUCCAAUGGUUAGAAAUGAUGAAAAGAAUUGAUCCAAAGGCCAAAAAACUGGUAGCAACAAUGGGAUUUUGCUACUAAUAGUAGCCCAGUCCAACUCUAUAUAUAUAUAUAUAGAGAGAAAGAGAGAGAGAGAGCUACUAUGCUAUCGGAAACAUAGAGGAUCUGAUAUUUUUCAUUUUUUUGUCCAUAGAUUAAUCCCUUUGAUCAUUUCUAACCUUUGAAUUAAUAUUAUUAUCCUAUGGGGACCACUCUAUCCUAAAAAUACUACUCAACCCUGGGGGAACCGCAAUCACCCCAACUGUAUAAUUUUUUAUCCAAGAGCUAAAAAAUCGAAAACUUCAAAUACUCUAUACUUCCGAUAAUAUAGUAGCUCUACGCUAUAUAUUAUACCAGUUUGUUAAAAUCAGAACGGCGAAAAAUAGAUCCAGAAAAUAACUUAAUGCAAGAAAAGAAAAGAUAAGGAAAUAACACACCGAUAUUUUCUUGUACUCCGCCUUUUUCGACAUUAAUAAAGUAUUUGCUCCGUCUUCGCCCGUGGACGUAGGCCGUUGGUAUAUAUAUAUAUAUAUAUAGUCCGGCUACUAUGCUAUUAAUAGCACGAAACACUUGGUGCUACCAAGUUUUCCGCCGUUAGAUCUACCCUUUUGAUUAUUUUUACCCGUUAGAUCAUACUAUUCAACCAACUACCCACUCAACCCUAGGGGGGCCCACAUCAUCCUAACCGCACAUCUCUUAAUCCAAUGGUCAAAAACUUGGUAGCACCAAUGACUUUGUGCUAUUAAUAGCAUAGUAGCUAGCCUAGUUAUAUAUAUAUAUAUAUAUAUAUUGUAGAUAUUAUGUUAU